GGGGGUCCCCAGGAGAGGUGGGGACAGGGAGAGACCGGAAAGGAGGACAGUCCCUUUCCUCACUCACAGGCCAACCCCGCAUGCCUCAUUCCCUCCCUUUUAUAGGCUUUGUGAGUAAAGGAGGAAGAGAAAGAUGGUUAGAGGAGCUAAAAGCAGAAGAGGAGGAGGACAGUGUGGCUGGGGUAACAGCUGCUGAGGCGGGGUCCUCAGAAGGGUACCCUGUGCCCACCUCCUUCUCUGCACCUCAGCUUUCUCACCUGCACCUUCAAUGAGAAGUCAUGUGAGAUGAAUUUUAAUGAUCUUUUUAUCGGUGCCUGGAAGUCUACAGGGUGUCUAAUUCUGCGUGUGCACGCGUGUGUGUCUGUGUGUGUGUGUGGUGUUCAGCAAUUUCAUAAAUAUUUUUUCAGCCAAAAAGACCGAAGCAAAUUCCUUCAGUUAUGUUCAUCUUCUCCACAAUGAGCACUUCCUUUUCUGAAUGUGUCUUCAUCCAUCCCUUCACAUUCAAGAGGAUAAUGCCCUUGACUCAUUUGUAGUCAUGGGUCCAGGAGAGCCCUUAAGGAUGGCAAGGUGUUGCCAGUGGUCAGGGAGAAGGAAGGCCCUGGACUGCCGUGGGAGGCCCGGGGCGCUCACCCUGCCCUGCCAAGGCCCUUCCUCCUCCUGGCUUUGCUUCCCUUCCUUGUGACGUGAGUGCUGACCAUUAGGCUGCCCCAGCCCCUCCAGCUACACAGUGGAAAACAUCCCAGCGAGACUGAGGCUGCAAUGCACAGAAACAACCACUUGGGGGCAGCAUAAAAGAGGAAAAAAAUACCUCUUCAGAAGAAGAGGGGAAAUGUGAUAACUUGUGCGGCUGGCGCUAGAGGGCGCCGCUUUUCCCACUUUCUUUAAAAAGGUGGCUGGGGGCAGAAUCUCCAUAUCUUGUCAGGUGGAGAAGGCUGAAGAGCCUCCUUCUGCAGAUACGGCCGUGGGGGCAGAGUGGAGGCAGCCCAGCAUGAGGGCAGAAUGGGAGAGAGGGGACUGACUCACCUGAGCCUCCAAACAGGGAGGAGACCUCUGAUGGCGUCAUACAAGGAAACACAGAAUGGGCUGAUCUGGCCUGGGCAUCAGGCUGCAGAGUCACAGACCCUCUCCCCGGCCUCCUCCCCCAGGGCCUGCCUUAGAAGGGAAGAACUUGGACAACAGAUCUCCCUGAGCCUGGCUCCCAGCACUGUGCUCUGGAAAAGAAGGGCAAGUACAGCAUGCAAACUCAGCCUCAUCUUGGAAAUCAGGAGACCUCUCCCAGAGAAGACUGGAAGGACGAGCAGAAGUCCAUUCCCUCAAGGCAGAGUGGAAGGGGGCUCCAUUGCUUGCCGUUGCUUACCAGGUGGUAUUUGCCUACUGCAUUACUCAGCACCUCAUGGUCUCCCCAUCUUCAGUGUCCAGAAACCUCCUCCACAGCAAGUAUUUUUCUUUCACCUUAUAAACACAUGACACCCGCGACUAAUUGUGUUCUCCCAUCUAGCUGCAAAGAAGUUCAGAGCCAAAACUGAAGUCCAAUUGAUAACUGAGAAGGCAUUUAUGGCAAAUACU